CUUCUCUCAGAAUUGCACCUGCAGAGUUUUCAAUACUCUACCAGUCUCAGCUAUGGGAGGGAAAGUCAAACAAAGACAUAUCCAUUCCAUUCCUAGCUUGGUCAGUGGCUAGCGAAUGGAAGGCAAUCUGCUACAAGU